CUUUCCUUCAGCACUUGGCAAAAGUUGACAUUAAAUUUGAUCUACCUUACACUGAGAAAUGUUUCACACUUAUGUCUGAUCAAAAACGAUCCUAGUUCGCCUGUGUUCUAGCACAGAUCCCAACUAAACAGCUCACUCUUGAGCUUUAUCAUCUCAUCAUGAAGCUGUGGAUACUGAGGCUCACAGCUUCAUAUUGACUCAGCUGAGUAGCCCAGCAAACGCAUGUCCUUUCCCAUCUCAUUUUUUUUCUGUGUUAAGAAAAAUGUCCAUAAAGCCAGAACACAGAAAGAUCUAUUAUCAACCCAGUUUAGGAUUCAGUGGCAAUCAAUACAACAGCCCCCUGAGAGCCUGGCGCAGCUGGGACUCCCCAGAAAUUCACUGCCAGCUCUUAAAUAUGGGGUGGGGGAAAGACAAGGUGGGGUAAAGUGAUUCUGAUCACACUCCUUCAAGGUCAAAUAAAUAAUCUCUUGAAACUGGCUGGAUAUGCAAACCCUAAGGGAAUUAUGAGAAUAACCCUGUCCACGGUUACAAUCCAGCCCCCAGCCCUGGGCGAAAAGCCCCUCACUCCUCUUUACCACCAGAGAGAUGAGACCAGAAGGCCCUGAUUAAACACUCACCCCUUCAGGAGAACCCAGAGUUAUAGAAGGGAUGUCAGUGGCGCUGAGCAGUAGCUUUAAGUCCCAGAAAAGCCUUUUCUUACUAUGCAAACCCACUCGUGCCUGGAUGCCCACUUUACAUUUGUGGUGGCUGCCUCCACCCUGGCAGAACCCAUUCUGAGCACAGAUCCCAUUCUGAGCAGGCACCUCAUCCUUGCUGUAACCAAACCACCGAGGUUGUGAGUGUAAAAUCCCUGGGACCAUGGAAGACCCUCCAUUCAUCUCAGAAUUUCUCUCUGAAGGUUCUCCUCCAGGACAGCAAGGGUCCCCAAGGUCUCCAAGGUCAGCACAGCCAUAGCCUCCAGUUCUCCUGUUUGUCAGCUGCUGUUUAUGGAGUACGUGGCUGUUGGAUACUAUGCCCCAUGGUCUGCAUACAACAUUUCAUUUAAUUCUCACAGAAAUGGCAUGGAGAGAUAUUAUUGUCAUUUCAUUAUGAAGUUGUGGAUACUGAUGCUCACCGGGAUAAGAUGCUUGUCCAAGGCUGCAAUGUCAGUUAAGUGGCAAAACCAAGAUUCCAGCUGGGUUUAUCUGCCUGCACAGUAGCUGUCUGGCCUUUUUUGCUGAUGAGUGGACCCACUGCUUUAGAUCCUUUCAUAUUUAAAUGAGGCCAAUGACAAAUGAGGAAAGAUCCCAAAGUGAAUCCAUGAGGACGUACUAAACCCCUGCUCUGUGUCAGCAAGCCAAGUUAGAUGUCUCAGCCAGGCCACGAGCCAGGGCCCUCUGUGUGUGGCCUUGGCUUUAUGAUAACCCUUUAAAACAAAAAGAACAUUUUAAUGACCUUUCCCUCUCUUUGCCCUCAAUGUGGGCUCCUUGAGGACAGGUCUGUCUUGAUCGUCACUGCACCCCUUGUAUCUGGCCUGUGCCUGACACAGAGGAAGUGUUCGAUAAAUGCCUGUUGAAUGAAAACAUGCUCUCCUCCAACACAGGCCAGCUGUGUGCAUGCUUUAGCCUCCCAGGCUGCCCAAGCUCCCUAGCCUGCUGUUCUAUGGGGGUUUGGCCACAUCAGUCACACUGCUUUAUAGAAUCCGAGACAGGGUCUGUCUUUCACUGAUUUCUGAGGAAUGAGAUUUGUGGGAAAUAACAUUUCCUUAUAA
rnacentral:lncRNA from 1 species